GAAGAGGGAGAGGGGGCAGCAUUGAGCUCUUCAGAAGAUAUAUCUUUACAAGGCAGGCUUGCAAUGGCUGCCUGCAGAGUCAAGGGUAGAAGAACGGGCCAUCUGCAGGCUGCAGAGUUGAAGGAGGCAGUUGAAAGUGGAAGCUCUGGAGCUCACUGCAGAGUUUUGUGGUCUACACCAGGAAGCUGGACAGUCUGUACUGGAAGCCUGCAGAUGUAUGUUCAAAUGCAAUGGUGAAGGCUGGAGCUCUUCCCAAGAAACAGAGGCAAGACUUCCUUCUUUUUUCCCUUUUUAUUGCAUCUGGGCUGCAAGCCUGUUGGCUGGUGCCACCCACACCUAGGAAAGGGGAAAAUAUCACUGUGAUGGUUCAACUUCAUUGAGAACUUGAUUGGUGUGAUGGAUUGACAACUGGUG